UCCUUGUUCUGCGAUGUUUUCUACGCGCGACGAUGAAAUUUCUCCACGCUGUACGCGUCUCUACUUAGAACUAUUUUCAGCGUGACAGUUUUUGUAUUUUCUUGUAGCCUGGGAACACCGUUCAAUUGGUGCGACAGAAACUUAUGCAGCUUCCGUCUCACGCAUUGUAUGGAAACGGUUGAAUACCGCUUGUAGUUACUUUCUUGCCAUAGAGUUGAACUAGUAAAAGGUGCCCAUGGUGCGAGUGCAGUCGUAACGCUUUGACGUUGGAUCCGAGCCCAUGGAGAAAGUUGGAGCUGUAGAGCUGUAUGUUUUUGGACAAAGUCACCAAUUCCAUUGCUCUUCCUAUGCCGAGUGGCCAGGAUAAUGGUUGAAAUUGCUACAAUAAAGGUUAUGAUCAACAACAUUUGUUGAAAUUUCGCAUUUACUUUUGGAAGCGCAGUAUAACGCAUUCCAUGCAACAUUACUAAUGAAAAUGAGUCGACUUAAAAUGCUCAUGUUGUCUGGAGCGCAAUGGAUUAAGCGAGUGCCAUGUCGGAAUAAACAGCAUUAACUAAUUCUUUGGACAAAAGAACACCGAUUUUGCUGAUAUGAAAAAUUCUUGUACACGGGGUGAUGCUGGAGCUGUUUUGACAAGCGUACUUGUCGUCUUCGUGGCUGCAACUUUGAGACAAGUCUUGUCGAAAUGUUGGCUCCAGUGACACCCUAGUCAAAGCGUUGUACCAUGCCAGCAUUUCACAAUCAAAAGUUUUAGCUGUUCGCUGUUAGCCUGUUACACCCCGGUGGCGCAAGCUGAGGCAUUUAUUUUAUGUCUUUCUUUAUGCCUCAACAUAACUUCUAUCAAAAGUGAUAACUAAUGGGAAGUCUGCAUAUAAUGGCAUCGGAUUAAUUUCUGGAGCUUCUCUAGCCAGCAAAAUUUAUCGCUCUUUCUGUCUACUCUGUCCUUUUUUCCUAUGUUCGCACGCUGCAAAACCCUGCCAGUAUGAUAAUCCAAAAACGGCAGAAGUUCAGGGGAAGAUGGCGGCUUGAAAAGGUGAAAAGUUCUUGGACACAGAGUGUAGCUGGAGUCAGCGUUUCGACAAGCAGUCUUGUCUUCUUCAACGGUAAAAAUUGCUGCUGAAAGAAAGAAUUCGAUGCAGAAACCACUAUUCGACACCUUUAUUUUAGCCUUUUUUUAACCUUUUUAUUUUAACCUUUUUUUUAUUGGCGCAUAAGUGUUUUAAAAUACAGCAAAAAUCCCCAUAUCUCCCGUGGAGCAAAGUUCUCUCGAUUUCUUUUCAUCGAAGUGAGUGGGUCGGCGGCCGUAAAUGACGGGAGGCGCUCAAGGAUAGCUUUCGG